rnacentral:rRNA from 1 species
GAUGAACGCUGGCGGCGUGCUUAACACAUGCAAGUCGAACGGUGAACGAGGGAGCUUGCUCCCUCCGGAUCAGUGGCGAACGGGUGAGUAACACGUGAGCAAUCUGCCCUGGACUCUGGGAUAAGCGUUGGAAACGACGUCUAAUACCGGAUACGAGGCGUGGGGGCAUCCCCAACGCCUGGAAAGAACUUCGGUCCAGGAUGAGCUCGCGGCCUAUCGGCUUGGUGGUGAGGUAACGGCUCACCAAGGCGACGACGGGUAGCCGGCCUGAGAGGGUAACCGGCCACACUGGGACUGAGACACGGCCCAGACUCCUACGGGAGGCAGCAGUGGGGAAUAUUGCACAAUGGGCGCAAGCCUGAUGCAGCAACGCCGCGUGAGGGACGACGGCCUUCGGGUUGUAAACCUCUUUUAGCAGGGAAGAAGCGAAAGUGACGGUACCUGCAGAAAAAGCACCGGCUAACUACGUGCCAGCAGCCGCGGUAACAC